rnacentral:rRNA from 1 species
CCUACGGGUGGCAGCAGUGAGGAAUAUUGGUCAAUGGGCUUACGCCUGAACCAGCCAAGUCGCGUGAGGGAAGACUGCCCUAUGGGUUGUAAACCUCUUUUGUCAGGGAGCAAUUGGCGCUACGUGUAGCGUUAUCGAGAGUACCUGAAGAAAAAGCAGCGGCGAACUCCGUGCCAGCAGCCGCGGUAAUACGGAGGAUGCGAGCGUUAUCCGGAUUUAUGGGGUUUAAAGGGGGCGUAGGCGGAAUGCCAAGUCAGCGGUACAAUCGCGGGGCUCAACCUCGCUCCGCCGUUGAAACUGGCGGUCUUGAGUGUGCGAGAGGUAUGCGGAAUGCGUGGUGUAGCGGUGAAAUGCAUCGAUAUCACGCAGAACUCCGAUUGCGAAGGCAGCAUACCGGCGCCCAACUGACGCUGACGCACGAACGCGUGGGUAUCGAACAGGAUUAGAUACCCCAGUAGUC